rnacentral:miRNA from 1 species
UAUAUACACACACACACACACACACACACAUACACAUACACACACAUACACAUACAUAGUAUGUGUGUGCAUCUGUGUGUGUGUGUGUGUGUAUAGA